rnacentral:rRNA from 1 species
AACGCCCUCUUCGGAGGGAGUGGCAGACGGGUGAGUAACACGUGGGAAUCUACCCAGUACUGCGGAAUAACACAGAGAAAUUUGUGCUAAUACCGCAUACGCCCUUCGGGGGAAAGAUUUAUCGGUAUUGGAUGAGCCCGCGUUUGAUUAGCUAGUUGGUGAGGUAAUGGCUCACCAAGGCGACGAUCAAUAGCUGGUCUGAGAGGAUGAUCAGCCACACUGGGACUGAGACACGGCCCAGACUCCUACGGGAGGCAGCAGUGGGGAAUAUUGGACAAUGGGCGCAAGCCUGAUCCAGCCAUGCCGCGUGAGUGAUGACGGCCCUAGGGUUGUAAAGCUCUUUCAACGGUGAAGAUAAUGACGGUAACCGUAGAAGAAGCCCCGGCUAACUUCGUGCCAGCAGCCGCGGUAAUACGAAGGGGGCUAGCGUUGUUCGGAAUAACUGGGCGUAAAGCGCACGUAGGCGGAUUGUUAAGUUAGAGGUGAAAUCCCAGGGCUCAACCCUGGAACUGCCUUUGAUACUGGCAAUCUUGAGUUCGAGAGAGGUGAGUGGAAUUCCGAGUGUAGAGGUGAAAUUCGUAGAUAUUCGGAGGAACACCAGUGGCGAAGGCGGCUCACUGGCUCGAUACUGACGCUGAGGUGCGA